ACACCUCAACUCUUCAUGGUUUUCCAUGAUGAGCUUGGACUUUGGGGGUCUUGCUGGCCUGCGGUCAGCUCCUCUCAAAUGAAUCAGCUUGCCAGUGUUUGGUGGGUUUCACAGGUGUGAUAACUAUCUACACUUGUGGUUUUCCACCAGGUAACCUUCAGCAGUGGAGGUUCGCUGGAGCUCACAGAUGUGUCUCUCCUCAGUGAGGACAGCCCUUUGAAU
rnacentral:misc_RNA from 1 species